UGCAAGUCGAACGGAGUAGCAAUACUUAGUGGCAGACGGGUGAGUAACAUGUAGGUAUCUGCCCUUUGGCCUGGAAUAACACGAGGAAACUUGUGCUAAUACCGGAUAAGUCUUUACGGAGAAAGCUUUAUGCACCAUUGGAUGAGCCUGCACUUGAUUAGUUUGUUGGUGGGGUAAUGGCCUACCAAGACUGUGAUCAAUAGCUGAUUUGAGAGGAUGAUCAGCCACAUUGGGACUGAGACACGGCCCAAACUCCUACGGGAGGCAGCAGUGGGGAAUCUUGCACAAUGGAGGAAACUCUGAUGCAGCGAUGCCGCGUGAGUGAAGAAGGCCCUUGGGUUGUAAAGCUCUUUCGUCGGGGAAGAAAAUGACUGUACCCGAAUAAGAAGGUCCGGCUAACUUCGUGCCAGCAGCCGCGGUAAUACGAAGGGACCUAGCGUAGUUCGGAAUUACUGGGCUUAAAGAGUUCGUAGGUGGUUGAAAAAGUUAGUGGUGAAAUCCCAGAGCUUAACUCUGGAACUGCCAUUAAAACUUUUCAGCUAGAGUAUGAUAGAGGAAAGCAGAAUUUCUAGUGUAGAGGUGAAAUUCGUAGAUAUUAGAAAGAAUACCAAUUGCGAAGGCAGCUUUCUGGAUCAUUACUGACACUGAGGAACGAAAGCAUGGGUAGCGAAGAGGAUUAGAUACCCUCGUAGUCCAUGCCGUAAACGAUGUGUGUUAGACGUUGGAAAUUUAUUUUCAGUGUCGCAGGGAAACCGAUAAACACACCGCCUGGGGAGUACGACCGCAAGGUUAAAACUCAAAUGAAUUG
rnacentral:rRNA from 1 species